GGAUAUUGCGCAAUGGGGGAAACCCUGACGCAGCAACGCCGCGUGGAGGAAGACGGUUUUCGGAUUGUAAACUCCUUUUAUGAGGGACGAACCAAGACGGUACCUCAUGAAUAAGCUCCGGCUAACUACGUUCCAGCAGCCGCGGUAAUACGUAGGGAGCAAGCGUUGUCCGGAUUUACUGGGUGUAAAGGGUGCGUAGGCGGCUAGGCAAGUCAGGUGUGAAAUGUAGAGGCUCAACCUCUAAACUGCACUUGAAACUGUUUAGCUUGAGUGAAGUAGAGGCAGGCGGAAUUCCCUGUGUAGCGGUGAAAUGCGUAGAGGUAGGGAGGAACACCAGUGGCGAAGGCGGCCUGCUGGGCUUUAACUGACGCUGAAGCACGAAAGCGUGGGUAGCAAACA
rnacentral:rRNA from 1 species